GCUGUGGGACCCGCAGGCAGCCGGAGUGAGCCUUCCAGGAGCAGGUCCUUGAGUUAGAAACCGAGAUGAUGCUGAGGGUGGGGUCUGUGCACUGGGUUCCCUGCGUGUCCGUCAGGCAAACGAGAUAUCUUGUGAGAAGCAAGAGUCCAGGCAAACGUGAGAGACCACAGGGCUCUGUGGGGGACAGGGCAGUGAAAAGGACCUUUCACAGAGAUUACUCAUAAGAAACAAGGCUAAAUCUCCCCAGAGGAAAACUACAAGGGUCCUACCGCCGGGGUAGUGACGAGCACAUGCACGCGUGAGUCUGGUUGCUCUCAUCUUUGAAUUCUCUGCUGAAAUAGCACGUCCUCACAGGGAACUUGCCCAACCACCCUCUUCAAAGCAGAAGCCCCAGGUUCAUUUCUGACCUAGCAUCCCAUUUAUUUUCUUCAGAACAUGUGCUAUAAUAUGUAAAUAGCUUCUUUAUUGUUCACUGUUAAAUUUUUCUAUCUAGAAUGAAAUGUGUUUAUUGCAGGAAAAUGGAAUCUUGUAAGAACGGUUUGUCCAGAUCACUUCGGGAUCCCCAGCACCUGGCACGUGGUGGCACCCACUAGCUUCUCAAUGAAAGCUUGUUCAAUAAAUGAAUGACCCCCACUAUUGGUGAGAGUGUCUGAAUUUAGACACCGUUUAA
rnacentral:lncRNA from 1 species